rnacentral:rRNA from 1 species
UACGUAGGGUGCGAGCGUUGUCCGGAAUUAUUGGGCGUAAAGGGCGCGUAGACGGGCUGCCGCGUCCGGGGUGAAAUCCCACGGCUCAACCGUGGAACGGCCCCGGGUACGGGCGGCCUCGAGGAAGGUAGGGGCGUGCGGAACUGUGGGUGGAGCGGUGAAAUGCGUUGAUAUCCACAGGAACUCCGGUGGCGAAGGCGGCACGCUGGACCUUUUCUGACGCUGAGGCGCGAAAGCCAGGGGAGCGAACGGG